rfam:Schistosoma mattheei strain Denwood, Zambia genome assembly, scaffold: SMTD_scaffold0005405
AUCCAGUUGAUGAGUCCCAAAUAGGACGAAAUGCACAUCUUGGGU